GAUUGCAGGCUGCAACUCGCCUGCAUGAAGUCGGAAUUGCUAGUAAUCGCAGAUCAGCAUGCUGCGGUGAAUACGUUCCCGGGCCUUGUACACACCGCCCGUCACACCAUGAGAGUUGAGAAUACCCGAAGCCCAUGUCAAAGUGGUCGAAGGUAGGCUUGAUGAUUGGGGUGAAGUCGUAACAAGGUAAC
rnacentral:rRNA from 1 species